rnacentral:tRNA from 2 species
GGACAGGUGGCCGAGUGGCUGAAGGCACCGGUUUGCUAAACCGGCGUAUCUCGUCAGAGGUACCGCGGGUUCGAAUCCCGCCCUGUCCG